GGUAUGAUGUUAGAAUAUAUUUGCUACUUCAGAGGGUCCCUCCCAAUGAGACUACUUUAAUCACCAAGAUCUCUGACC
rnacentral:snoRNA from 1 species